ACCACACUGAAAAGCCAUACAUAAAAAAAAUCUGAAGAGAAAGUUAUACAGCUUACUUAACUGUUCAUCAUUUCAGCCAUGAAUUGUGAAACUAAUUGUUAACAAAACCAGAUGGGAGACUGAAUGAAAGUGAACAGGAUUUUGAAAAGGUCAAAGAGAUGAGCUUUUUACCUUGGUUUCAGGUCUGAGAUCUAUUGACAAGAUAACAUUUGAGAAUGGCUAGAGGCUGUUCAUAUUAAAGGUAAGAGAGAAAGGCAGAAAGCUCCAGCUYAGUGGUCCUCAGUAAGGGGACAGCAUGAGGUAAUUUAUCUGCCUUGGGCUUUCAGCAUUACAAAAGUAUGUCCUGUGUUUGUUUUUCCGUUUGGUGUUGUAGGGAACAUAUUUAUAUGUUACAUGUAAAACACUAGUGUUUUACAACAUUGCUAUUGUUACAAAAUUGAGAUAUGUUGCAAAACAAUCUCCAAUUACUUGAUCACAUACUGUUUUUCCUCACAGAGUUCCUAUGGUAGGUUAGGGUUGUCUGGUGAAGCAUAAUCUUGUGUAUGUUUUUUUUGUUCCAGAAGGUGAAAGGUGUGCUGUGAAUGAGUUAAAGAAUUUCAGGCAAAGAAAGAAUGGUAUCCUUUUCAGCAACUGAAUCUUACCCUGUGUCUGCGCUGCAUUGCUGCUGUGAGAGUGCAGUCCAUCCAUACUGGGUUUCACAGUGUAACUGAUGAGGAUAGGCUUCUAUCCUGUACGUGGACCAGCAUUCAUGGAACACUGAAACCUACCAGCCAAGAUGUUCUCAGACAGCAGAGCAACRGUAAGACUCCAGUACCUCAGUUCUCUUCCAGACUUCAUCUGAAGUGGUUUGUUAAAUACAGAUAUUUUGUCCUAUUUUCUUCCUAAUCCUGAAUCCAACCCUUUAGUUCAAUUUACCUAUUUCUGGUUUGCAUGCGUCCUCAUUCCCCUCUCCAUAGCUUUUUAGUCAGUCUUUCUCUCUUCCCUGUUUACUCUAGUCUCCAAGCACCUCCACAUUCCCUGCCCUGCUGGCUUCUAG
rnacentral:lncRNA from 1 species